UAAUACGUAGGGACCAAGCGUUGUCCGGAAUUAUUGGGCGUAAAGAGCUCGUAGGCGGCUGUCCACGUCGGGUGUGAAAGCUCAGGGCUCAACCCUGAGAUGCCAUUCGAUACGGGACGGCUAGAGGUAGGUAGGGGAAAGUGGAAUUCCUGGUGUAGCGGUGAAAUGCGCAGAUAUCAGGAGGAACACCGGUGGCGAAGGCGGCUUUCUGGGCCUUACCUGACGCUGAGGAGCGAAAGCUGGGGGAGCAAACAGGAUUAGAUACCCUGGUAGUCCCAGCCGUAAACGUUGGGCGCUAGGUGUGGGGAGGUCUUCAACCCUUUCCGUGCCGCAGCUAACGCAUUAAGCGCCCCGCCUGGGGAGUACGGUCGCAAGACUA
rnacentral:rRNA from 1 species